rnacentral:rRNA from 1 species
AUUGAACGCUGGCGGCAUGCCUUACACAUGCAAGUCGAACGGCAGCACGGGUGCUUGCACCUGGUGGCGAGUGGCGAACGGGUGAGUAAUACAUCGGAACGUACCUUAUCGUGGGGGAUAACGCAGCGAAAGCUGUGCUAAUACCGCAUACGCCCUGAGGGGGAAAGCGGGGGAUCGAAAGACCUCGCGCGAUUAGAGCGGCCGAUGCCUGAUUAGCUUGUUGGUGGGGUAAAAGCCCACCAAGGCGACGAUCAGUAGCUGGUCUGAGAGGACGAUCAGCCACACGGGGACGGAGACACGGCCCAGACGCCUACGGGAGGCAGCAGUGGGGAAUUUUGGACAAUGGGGGCAACCCUGAUCCAGCAAUGCCGCGUGAGUGAAGAAGGCCUUCGGGUUGUAAAGCUCUUUUGUCAGGGAAGAAACACCGGCUCUAACACAGUCCGGGAAUGACGGUACCUGAAGAAUAAGCACCGGCUAACUACGUGCCAGCCGCCGCCGUAA